rnacentral:lncRNA from 1 species
AGCUCACACCUGUGUAUUUCUUUUAGCCCUGCCUCCAGGUCUGAAUAUCAUCGCCCGGUCCGCUUAAUGUUGUCUUGGUUUACAAUAGGUCCUGGUGCCCGUGGGACAAGCUGUGUUGGUGUCUCCCUCUCCCCACACCUGGCUUCAGAUGUGUCCUUCUGUGGGCCUGGCUUCCAGGGUCUGAGUGACCCAGGGCUGUAGUCAGGCUUAUGUCCUGGCCUACUGGCCCGAGACCCCUCGUCAUCAUGCCUGGUGGGUGUUGUCCACCAGCUUGUUAAUCCUGCCACUAUGUCCCUUGAGUCCUGGGCCUGGCCCUGCUAGGCCCCUUAUUGACUACCUUGUGUUGGUUUUGGGGGCUGCCACCAGGCCUGUUGCAUCGCUUCUGUACUUUUCCCUGCUGUGGCUCGUGUCAGAUGAACUGCCCCUGUCCACAGUAGAGCAGCUGGCUUCACCUGCUGGCCAUGUUGGCUGAAGAACAGCAGAUAGAAGUGGCAGAGGACCCCAUGAGACCCGCCACCAGGACCCAAGCCUUCUUCCCAGCAUGUCUCACCGCCUCAGUUGAGGCCGAAGUUACCACCUGGAAUUCUGCGUGGGAAGGGACCCUGGAUACCCGGAUACAUGCCCUUGGGACCCUCCAGUGCUAAAUCCCUCCACAGCUACGGGGACACCCUGCACACAUUCCCACGGGACAGACUGGACCCAAGACUCUGGACCGGGGCCUCCCCUUAUAGAGACUCACCCUCUGACUGAUGGACUGCGCUGACCUGGGGGUCAGGCGUGUAGCCUUGACCUCCAUCAUCCCCCAUGAACCCUGAGACUCGGGGAGCUGUUGACUCUUCAUUGUCCUCACUUAUGAAACAGGCCGGGACACCUACCUCACAGGACUGUUGUGAGGCUGCUGCAAUAUGGUUUAGAACCAAAGGGCUUGGCACGCCCACUUGUCUCAAUAAAUGUUUUUUGUCUUAACCA